GUUGCAGUUAAAAAGCUCGUAGUUGGAUUUCUGGCGAACCGUUGCGGCCCGUGCUCGUCUCGGGCGUGUGUGCCGUGUCGUGUUUGUCAUCCUUCCAGAGAGCUGCGUCUACCAUUCACUUGGCCGGACGUACGCGAUCUGGAUCGAUUACUUUGAAAAAUUAGAGUGUUUAAAGCAGGCUUACGCUGUGAAUACAUUAGCAUGGAAUAAUAAUUUAGGACUUCGGUUCUAUUUUGUUGGUUUCUAGGACUGAAGUAAUGAUUGAUAGGGACAGUUGGGGGUGCUAGUAUUCCGCGGCCAGAGGUGAAAUUCUUGGAUUCGCGGAAGACUAACUACUGCGAAAGCAUUCACCAAGGAUGUCUUCUUUAAUCAAGAACGAAAGUUGGGGGAUCGAAGACGAUCAGAUACCGUCGUAGUCUCAACCAUAAACUAUACCGACUAAGGAUCAGUGAACGUUGAUUUACGACUUCAUUGGCACUUUGUGAGAAAUCAAAGUCUUUGGGUUCCGGG
rnacentral:rRNA from 1 species